rnacentral:rRNA from 1 species
UACAGAGGGGGCAAGCGUUGUUCGGAAUUACUGGGCGUAAAGGGCGCGUAGGCGGCGCGGUAAGUCGGGUGUGAAAUCUUGGAGCUUAACUCCGAAACUGCAUUCGAUACUGCCGUGCUUGAGGACUGGAGAGGAGACUGGAAUUUACGGUGUAGCGGUGAAAUGCGUAGAUAUCGUAAGGAAGACCAGUGGCGAAGGCGGGUCUCUGGACAGUUCCUGACGCUGAGGCACGAAGGCCAGGGGAGCAAACGGG